UUUUUAAUAUUUUAAAAUAAAAUAUUAUUUUAAAAAGUUUUUAGUCUUUUUAACAAAAUUAAUUGGUGAAAUAGGGUUCGGGUCAAACUUGGUCGGGUUGAGUCAAAAUUGUUCGGGUUGGGAUAAAAUCAACUAAAAGGAAUGGAAACGUCAAAAACUGUCAGUUUAAAGAUCUAAUUGACGAAACACGAGUUUUAGAGACUUUAAAAUUGAGUGGUAAUUUGAAGGGAUAGAAAUAUCAUUCAGCUUAACAUGCAAACACAUGCAAAGUUAAUAAAAUUAGCAUGUGGGCAGCAAGAAAGCAUGUGAUCUUAUGUAUAUUACAUUCCUGCGGGCCGCCUUAUUCAUAGUAUAUUCACACUAAACAUAUUCGGGAUUAAUUAUCCUAAUUGAUUUUGAUAACUGUUAACGCCAAGAACUAUUAACUAAAAUAACUUUUACAUUUACUUAAAAUUAAAAAUAAAAACAUUUAACUAAAGUAAGAAUUGAAACAAGUUUAUAUAUAUAUACGGUCAGUCUCUCCAGCGAAUUAUAGAGAGGGAACUAAAAACGAACUGGCUAUAGCGACGAUUUUUUCCGUCGCUGUAGCAUAAAAAGCCGGUUUUUUAUGCUUUAGCGACGGAAAAAAUCGUCGCUAUAGUCGGUUCGCCUUUAGUUCGAUUCCUAUGGUUCGCUAGAGAGACGUACCAUAUAUAUAUAUAUAUGUAUGUAUGGGGGGAAUGAUUCAUAUCCUGUAUUUGUCAUUGAUCAAAAAUUGGCAUAUACUUUUAACCCCAAUUCAACGAGCCUUCUUGGAUUCAAGGGUUGAUUAAUCAGUCGUGACUCGUUAGACAACCAAUUGAGCAUGUAAUUGUUUAACUUCCUGCAAGUUUUGGCACAUGUUUAGUAAGAUAAUGGGGGGUUUUGGACCUCUUUUAGCUCUCGUCAAUGGAAGUUGAAUGAUUUUCUGCUCAACAAGUGAUGAAUUUAUCGAAGAAGCCGCCAUCACAGAGGGGUCUUGCAGACGGCCUGUCCAGAUUUUUUCUCUCCGAUGGCAUAUUUGAUCAAAUAGAUGAUAUAGCGGACUGAAAUCAACCACUAUUACCACGCUGUUAAAGAAUUGGGCCAAAAUAGGGGCAAAACAGCAGCAGCCCUAAGUAAAAGCAUCCAGGCGAUCGCGGUGAUUCGAGGUGAUUCCAAGCGCAAAACCCUUCAAUUGGCAACAAAACUUCAAAUUUUGCAUACAAGCGUGUUCGAUUUCUGUUAUUCAUGAACUUAAUCAACGUUUAAUCGUGAGUUUUUUGAAUUAGAAGGUUGAGAAUUGAAAACUUUGCAUAAGUGGGAACCCAUUUAUCGUUGUCGGUACCAUGAUUGUUUGGGUCAUUUAAAAGGGUAGAAUUUAUGUAAUAAGGAAUUAGGGCUUAUGAAUACUAUAUGUAUUUUGGAUGUUAAGUUUGUUGAAAUUGAAAAGUUUUAAGGCUUUAGGACAUUAUAGUUUCAGUUUUAUGAUGGUAUGAUGUUAAAUACUAUGUGUAAUACUAUAUUUUAUUUUUUUNN
rnacentral:lncRNA from 1 species